AGAGUUUGAUCCUGGCUCAGGAUAAAACGCUGGCGGCGCACAUAAGACAAUGCAAGUCGAACGAACAGAAGUCAUUCUUAUAGAUUGAUGGAAGUUAGUGGCGGACUGUGAUAAAGUAUAAGUAACCUGCCUAUCAGAGGGGAACAACAGUUGGAAACGACUGCUAAUACCGCAUAUGCCAUAAGAAUCGCAUGGUUCAAGUGGGAAAGGAGAAAUCCGCUGAUAGAUGGACUUAUAUCUGAUUAGCUAGUUGGUGGGGUAAAGGCCUACCAAGGCGACGAUCAGUAGCCGGACUGAGAGGUUAAACGGCCACAUUGGGACUGAGAUACGGCCCAGACUCCUACGGGAGGCAGCAGUCGGGAAUAUUGCGCAAUGGAGGAAACUCUGACGCAGUGACGCCGCGUGCAGGAAGAAGGUUUUCGGAUUGUAAACUGCUUUAGACAGGGAAGAAAAAGACAGUACCUGUAGAAUAAGCUCCGGCUAACUACGUG
rnacentral:rRNA from 1 species